UGCGUAGGCGGAAAAUUAAGUCAGUGGUGAAAUCCUGCAGCUUAACUGUAGAACUGUCAUUGAUACUGAUUUUCUUGAAUAUAGUUGAGGUAGGCGGAAUGUGUAAUGUAGCGGUGAAAUGCUUAGAUAUUACACAGAACACCGAUUGCGAAGGCAGCUUACUAAACUAUGAUUGACGCUGAGGCACGAAAGCGUGGGGAGCGAACAGGAUUAGAUACCCUGGUAGUCC
rnacentral:rRNA from 1 species